rnacentral:rRNA from 2 species
UCCGUAGGGUGAACCUGCGGAAGGAUCAUUAU